GCUCGUCGCUUUGCGGGUCCCGGAUGUCCGCGAUGAUCUGCCGGAACCUCGUGGGGUUCUUGCUUUUUGCCGUGUACGAUAGCCCGUGGAACCUACCAACAGAAUCCAAACCAACACCCGCUCGUUACAGUGCAAUCGAUAACACGUUACUCCGGUGAAUAUACGUGUCAUCACGUGGUCGUUAUUUUGCACCAUGAACAUUUUCAAUUGAGACAGAUAAGAAUUUGACAUUUAUUUGCAACAUAUAACAAAUAUGGCAUCGCGGUAAACACUCAACGCAUCAACUUGAUUAUACCGUAUGCCCGCAGUAUUCAGUACCAGUACAGCAUUAUAUAAAUCACAUGACAAUAAAUCAUAUUAUAAUCGAUUACAUUA